AUUAUACCUCAAGAAAAAUAAUUAAAGUGGUGAGGACAUAUUUUAAUCAGAAAUAUACUGUUGCAAGAGGAAAACGUGUCCAACAUGAACUAAACUCAGCUUGGAUUUGCUCAGAGGU